rnacentral:rRNA from 1 species
AUUGAACGCUGGCGGCAGGCCUAACACAUGCAAGUCGAACGGUAACAGGAAGAAGCUUGCUUCUUUGCUGACGAGUGGCGGACGGGUGAGUAAUGUCUGGGAAACUGCCUGAUGGAGGGGGAUAACUACUGGAAACGGUAGCUAAUACCGCAUAACGUCGCAAGACCAAAGAGGGGGACCUUCGGGCCUCUUGCCAUCGGAUGUGCCCAGAUGGGAUUAGCUAGUAGGGGGGGUAACGGCUCACCUAGGCGACGAUCCCUAGCUGGUCUGAGAGGAUGACCAGCCACACUGGAACUGGGACACGGUCCAGACUCCUACGGGAGGCAGCAGUGGGGAAUAUUGCACAGUGGGCGCAAGCCUGAUGCAGCCAUGCCGCGUGUAUGAAGAAGGCCUUCGGGUUGUAAAGUACUUUCAGCGGGGAGGAAGGGAGUAAAGUUAAUACCUUGGCUCAUUGACGUUACCCGCAGAAGAAGCACCGGCUAACUCCGUG